rnacentral:rRNA from 1 species
UACGUAGGGACCGAGCGUUGUCCGGAAUCAUUGGGCGUAAAGAGCGUGUAGGCGGCUUGCUAAGUCUUGCGUGAAAGCCCGGGGCUCAACCCCGGGUCGGCCGUGGCAACUGUCGAGCUGGAGCACUGUAGAGGCAGGUGGAAUUCCGGGUGUAGCGGUGGAAUGCGUAGAGAUCCGGAAGAACACCGGUGGCGAAGGCGGCCUGCUGGGCAGUGGCUGACGCUGAGGCGCGACAGCGUGGGGAGCAAACAGG